rnacentral:rRNA from 1 species
UACGUAGGGAGCAAGCGUUGUCCGGAAUCAUUGGGCGUAAAGCGCACGUAGGCGGCCCUGUAAGUCCGCUGUGAAAGUCAAAGGCUCAACCUUUGAAAGCCGGUGGAUACUGCAGGGCUAGAGUCCGGAAGAGGCGAGUGGAAUUCCUGGUGUAGCGGUGAAAUGCGUAGAUAUCAGGAGGAACACCUGUGGCGAAAGCGGCGCACUGGACCACAACUGACGCUGAGGCGCGAAAGCUAGGGGAGCAAACAGG